CUUUGCGGGUCCGGCUUAUACAUUUCAAGGAUGUCCAGGCCAGCAGAGAAUACCUUCGGACUAGCCUGGGAAGUGAAUACCAUAAUUAUGCUGCAGUUCCAAAUUUUGUCCAUUUACGGGGGGACGGCACAUUGUGAGCGUGGCAAUGCCGGUUUUGUCAUUUACUUCCACUGUGGUCAGCUUAAUUCCGGUGGACAUGAAACGUCUGCGGCCUGUGCGGCACACAAAGCUCAAGAGUCUGGAAGACAUCGCUAUCACCAAAGUAUACAAAAGAUGACCUUUGUUCUGCCGGUUUCAGAUUGUUGCCCUGAAGCUGUAAAGCAUAAAAUGAUAUAAUUAUACAAGCAGUGAAGGAGUUCUUUUUAUAUAAAAUAUAUUUCUGAAGUAUUCCACACACCUUUUAAAUUACCUCCCAGCUGAAUUCCAAAAUCAAAA